rnacentral:rRNA from 1 species
CAGAAAACUUAAAUAGAAUUGACGGGAGAGCACAGCAACGGGAGGAGCGUGCGGUUCAAUUGGAUCAACGCCGGAAAACUCACCGGGAGCGACUAUUACAUGAGGUCAGGCCGAUGACUUUACCUGAUUUUUAGAGAGGUGGUGCAUGGCCGUCGUCAGUUCGUACCGUAAGGCGUUCUGUUAAGUCAGAUAACGAACGAGACCCUCACCCUUAAUUGCCAACCCAUUCUUCGGAGUGGGCGCACAUUAAGGGGACCGCUGGCGCUAAGUCAGAGGAAGGAGAGGUCAACGGUAGGUCAGUAUGCCCCGAAUCUCCCGGGCUACACGCGCGCUACAAAGGACAGGACAAUGGGAUGCGAUAUCGAAAGGUAAAGCGAACCCCGAAACCUGUUCGUAGUUCGGACUGAGGGCUGUAACUCGCCCUCACGAAGCUGGAUUCCGUAGUAAUCGCGGGUCAACAUCCCGCGGUGAAUAUGCCCCUGCUCUUU